CUCCAUCCUUACUCCCUGCCCUCCUUCCUUACUCCUUGUCCUCUAUCCUUACUCCCUGUCCUCCAUCCCCGCUCCCUGUCCUCCAUCCUUGUUCCGUACCCUCCAUCCCCGCUCCCUGUCCUCCAUCCUUGUUCCAUACCCUCCAUCCCCGCUCCCUGUCCUCCAUCCUUGUUCCAUACCCUCCAUCCCCGCUCCCUGUCCUCCAUCCUCACUCCUUGUCCUCCCCUAUUGCCCCAGAGACGCAAAAUGGACCUCACUUCACCAGCAGCCCACAUGGGCACCCAGAGAGCUGCAUUUCUCCAAAGCCUGGACGCAGAGAAGCUUGGGAGAACCUCUGCGAGUGGGACAAGGAAUGCCCACCAUCCUUAUAUCCUCCUCUGUCCCUGCCCUGAAGAUGGCGAAGGUGGCAACCAAGCGGAAGGGCACGAAGUCAGCACAGCUUCAGCCCGGCACGCACAGAACACCAUUCCCACCAGCAAAAAGCCACCUCCGGUCUCCCAGAGCUCUUCUCAAUUUCGAACAGCUUCAGAACUCAUCUCACUGAGGGUUCCUCAAUGCCUCCUGGAUCCCUCCGGGUCAUCCCGGCCCCUCCUGGGUCCCUCCCAGCCCAGCAGCGCAGAGCCCACGCUGACGCUGGAGCACAGACGAAUCCCUCUCGGCUCACUUUUCAGGUGAAGCAAACUGAAUCCCAGCAAGGGGAGGCUGGAAAUGCUCCAGCCUACGGCGGGUCCCACCUCUUCAACGGCUGUGUUCCAUCACCAGAGAGCCAGCGUGUGCUCCAGGGAGCAGCCCGCGGCACCUGCCGGGAUUGCGCAGUGCCAACAGCCGUCAGCUCUGACAAGGCCUGACACUCUUAUUGCUGCACAUGGCCAGUUACGGUAAUACGAAAGGACUCCUGUCCUCCUGAGCCCGCCGUGAUUGAAUUAACAUGAUCACCCUUUUUUUGCCAGUAACGUAGACCUGGGUUUUUUUGGGUUUUUUUCUCCUUAAAUCAAUAAGACACGUCGUUUGCAAGAGGCUUUUAUCGUGCCGUGUUCACACAAGCCUGUGAGCCCGACCCCCCCUCACACCUCCAUCAGUGACAGCGAUGUGUCAAUGGGCACCGUUCUGCUCGCUGGAUGACGCUGAGCUCUGCUGAGGAUCUGCCCCUGCUGCCAGCCCAAAAGAACGUGAACAACGCUCCCCCAAGGAGCAGCAAGGGGAAAAGAACGCUGCUUUCCAAGGCGCCGGGUAGAGUUUGGGUGCUGGACCAGAUGGGGGUUGGAGCUUGAUGAUCCUUGAGGUGCCUUCCAACCUGGGCCUUUCUAAGACCUUGGAAGGUCCCUUCCAACCCAAAUGAUGGGUGGGAAUUACGAGGGCAGAGUGGGAAUCCAGCAAAGUGACCCCAGGGAGCACAGCUGUGCUUCAGGAGCUCCUCCUCCUCCCGGCGACGGUGGUUGGACUGCCCAAAGCAACGCUGAGUGGGGGGACGGGGGAGAACCCGAACGGAAAGGAUGCCAAAGACACCCAGAGCGGCCAAGUUGGAAAGUAAAGAGCAGGAAUUCGUAGGGGGAUGGGAUGCGGGCUAACAAUGAAGAGCAAAGCUCAGCCACGGCUUCUGCCAGCGCUGCUUGGAGAGGUUGUAUGGGACACAACAUGAGCACGGUUGGCAAGCCUGGUGGGGAUGGGCUGGUUGGAUGUGGGGAUGUUGGAGGUCAUUGCCAGCCUUAAUGGCUCCGAUUCUCUGAGCAAACACGGUGGGGAUGGGUUGGUGGUUGGAUUUGGGGAUCUUGGAGGUCAUUGCCAGCCUUAAUGACUCCGAUUCUACGAGCAAACACGGUGGGGAUGGGUUGGUGGUUGGAUUUGGGGAUCUUGGAGGUCAUUGCCAGCCUUAAUGACUCCGAUUCUAUGAGCAAACACAGUGGGGAUGGGUUGGCGGUUGGAUUUGGGGAUCUUGGAGGUCAUUGUCAGGCUUAAUGACUCCGAUUCUCUGAGCAAACACGGUGGGGAUGGGUUGGUGGUUGGAUUUGGGGAUCUUGGAGGUCAUUGCCAGCCUUAAUGACUCCGAUUCUAUGAGCAAACACGGUGGGGAUGGGUUGGUGGUUGGAUUUGGGGAUCUUGGAGGUCACUUCCAACCUUAAUGACUCCGAUUCUCUGAGCAAACACGUUGGGGAUGGGUUGGCGGUUGGAUUUGGGGAUCUUGGAGGUCAUUUCCAACCUUAAUGGCUCCGAUUCUCUGAGCAAACACGGUGGGGAUGGGUUGGUGGUUGGAUCUGGGGAUGUUGGAGGUCAUUGCCAGCCUUAAUGACUCCGAUUCUACAAGCAAAACAUGGUGGGGAUGGGUUGGUGUUGAUUUGGGGAUCUUGGAGGUCAUUUCCAACCACGGUGUUUCCACACUUCGGUCGCUGUACAACAGAUGUUGGCCGAUGAGGUCCAUUUUGCUGCCUGAAGGAGUCCGGAUGCAGGUGAGCGCUGCGCCGGGCCACCAGAAUCAGCGGUUUGUAAGGUUCUCAAUGACCAAGACAGACCUUGGAGGUCUCUUCCUUCAUCAUUCUACGACUCCACGGCUCGGGAUCUCCUUUCUUAGCUGCCUCAGUGGACGGUGCUGGCGCACAUGGGCUCGGGAAAGCCUCCUGUCCUCCACAGCCCCUUACAGAACAAGCUGGCUGAUCCUACUGGGGACGAAGGUCGGUGCUGCCCACCCUCUGCCUGCACAGCAGCACGACGGGAAGGGAAAGCGAAGACCCACCUCCUCUCUCACUCCCUCCACGCGUGCGGAGCUGUUAAACACCCCAAACACAACGUCACCGUGCCCACGACCACUCCGAGAGGGACCUAAUUUGCUCCCCUGCCCUACGGGGGAACUACCCUUAAGCACUCGGCCGCUCGCACGCUUAUUGCCCUCGCCACGGCGGGACGUUAAGCUUCGGCGCAGUGAGAUGAUUGCUUUUUAAAUCCCAGUCUCCCAGGAUUUUAAUUACUGGUCUGGCAGGGCUGGGAGUGGAAGUUGCUGCCGUCGGACGGAGGGGUCGAUACGCCGUCCCGGAACAUAUUGAGCCACGGUGCUCGCAGGCUCUAUUGAACUAUUUAAUCUUUCUUUUUUUUUUUCUUGCAAAAUUUACCGCGCGGCAGAAGGGAUCAAUACUGAAUUUAUC
ensembl:lncRNA